rnacentral:rRNA from 1 species
AUCGAUGAAGAACGCAGCGAAAUGCGAUAAGUAAUGUGAAUUGCAGAAUUCAGUGAAUCAUCGAAUCUUUGAACGCACAUUGCGCCCGCCAGUAUUCUGGCGGGCAUGCCUGUUCGAGCGUCAUUUCAACCCUCAAGCCCCAGUGGCCUGGUGUUGGGGACCGGCGACCUCGCCCGGGGGAACACCCCCGGCGCGUCCGCCGCCCCCGAAAUGAAUUGGCGGCCCCGUCGCGGCCUCCUCUGCGUAGUAGCACAACCUCGCAGCGGGAGCGCGACGCGGCCACUGCCGUAAAACGCCCAACUUUUUUUAGAGUUGACCUCGGAUCAGGUAGGAAUACCCGCUGAACUUAAGCAUAUCAAUAAGCGGAGGAAAAGAAACCAACAGGGAUUGCCCCAGUAACGGCGAGUGAAGCGGCAACAGCUCAAAUUUGAAAUCUGGCCCCCAGGGUCCGAGUUGUAAUUUGCAGAGGAUGAUUUUGGCGAGGUGCCUUCCGAGUUCCCUGGAACGGGACGCCACAGAGGGUGAGAGCCCCGUCUGGUUGGACGCCGAGCCUAUGUAAAUCUCCUUCGACGAGUCGAGUAGUUUGGGAAUGCUGCUCUAAAUGGGAGGUAUAUGUCUUCUAAAGCUAAAUAUUGGCCAGAGACCGAUAGCGCACAAGUAGAGUGAUCGAAAGAUGAAAAGCACUUUGAAAAGAGGGUUAAAUAGUACGUGAAAUUGUUGAAAGGGAAGCGCUCAUGACCAGACUUGGGCCCGGUGAAUCAUCCAGCGUUCUCGCUGGUGCACUUUGCCGGGCUCAGGCCAGCAUCAGUUUGCCCCGGGGGAUAAAGGCUUUGGGAAUGUGGCUCCUCCGGGAGUGUUAUAGCCCAUUGCAUAAUAUCCUGGGGCGGACUGAGGUUCGCGCAUCUGCAAGGAUGCUGGCGUAAUGGUCAUCAGCGACCCGUCUUGAAACACGG